GAUGAACGCUGGCGGCGUGCUUAACACAUGCAAGUCGAACGAAGCAUUUAGGACAGAUUACUUCGGUUUGAAGUUCUUUAUGACUGAGUGGCGGACGGGUGAGUAACGCGUGGGUAACCUGCCUUGUACUGGGGGAUAGCAGCUGGAAACGGCUGGUAAUACCGCAUAAGCGCACAAUGUUGCAUGACAUGGUGUGAAAAACUCCGGUGGUAUAAGAUGGACCCGCGUCUGAUUAGCUAGUUGGUGAGAUAACAGCCCACCAAGGCGACGAUCAGUAGCCGACCUGAGAGGGUGACCGGCCACAUUGGGACUGAGACACGGCCCAGACUCCUACGGGAGGCAGCAGUGGGGAAUAUUGCAAAAUGGAGGAAACUCUGAUGCAGCGACGCCGCGUGAGUGAAGAAGUAAUUCGUUAUGUAAAGCUCUAUCAGCAGGGAAGAUAGUGACGGUACCUGACGAAGAAGCUCCGGCUAAAUACGUG
rnacentral:rRNA from 1 species